rnacentral:misc_RNA from 1 species
GGCUUUGCCUGCCAUCUCUUACCCAUGUCUUUUGAGUACCUUACGUUUCCUCGGCGGGUCCGCCCGCCGACUGGACAAUUUAAACCACUUGCAGUUGCAAUCAGCGUCUGAAAAAACUUAAUAGUUAC